UAAUUUAGAACAUUUUUCCAGGACUACAAAAAUCAUGUUCUUUCCCUCCCCUCCCUCCAACCCCUUCCCAUAACCGAUGCACAAUUCCACUGGGUUUUACAUGUGUCUUUGGUCAAGACCUAUUUCCAAAUUAUUGAGAUUUGCACUAGGGAGAUCAUUUAGGGUUUAUAACCCCAAUUAUAUCCCCAUUGACACUUGUGAUCAAGCAGUUGUUUUUCUUCUGUGUUUCUUACUCCCACAGAUUUUCCUCUGAAUGUGGAUAGUGCUCUUUCUCAUAAGUCAUAGGAAACUCUUAAUGAAGAAGCUCUCUCCAUUAAAAAUGAUAGCCCUGAGGCUUUGUGAGACAUCCUGGUCCUCUUUCUACUCCGAGUCAGCAAAUAAAGAUUCAGUGAUCCCUACUGGAAAGAACUCAAAAGGCAAGAAAGAGAAUUACUAUAUGUAAGAAACAUUUUCAUCUACAAAUUUUUUAAGACCUCGUGGCUUAUGCACAUAAUUUUAGCUUCUAUGAAGUCUGAUGCUAAAUCGAUUAGGUGUCUGCCCCAAGUCCAGCAUUGAGAUAGGUGAGCCCUCAGGUGCAGAGGGCCACCAGAUUAGGAGAGGCAAACAUAGAUCAAAGUUCUCAUUUCCAUCAAUAAUGAGAUCAAACCUAUGAGUAGACCCUGCAUUAUGAUUCUG
rnacentral:lncRNA from 1 species